rnacentral:rRNA from 1 species
AGGACGAACGCUUGCGACGUGCCUAAGAAAUGCAAGUCGAACGCGGUAGCAAUACCGAGUGGCGAACGGUCGCGUAACACGUGGGCAACCUGCCCCAGAGCGGGGGAUAACAAUCCGAAAGGAUUGCUAAUACCGCAUGUGAACGGAUUUGGCAUCGGAUCCUGUUCAAAGCAGCAAUGCACUCUGGGAUGGGCCCGCGGCCUAUCAGCUAGUUGGUGGGGUAACGGCCUACCAAGGCUUCGACGGGUAGCUGGUCUGAGAGGACGAUCAGCCGGAUUGGGACUGAGAUACGGCCCAGACUCCUACGGGGGGCAGCAAUUAGGAAUCUUGCGCAAUGGGCGAAAGCCUGACGCAGCGACGUCGCGUGGAGGAUGAAAUCUUUCGGGAUGUAAACUCCUUUUCUCAGGGAAGAAAAAAUGACGGUACCUGAGGAAUAAGCCCGGCUAACUACGUGCCAGCAGCCGC